CCGCUCCCGGUGUCACUCGGAGCCGCGGCGGAGCGCCCGCUGCCGCCGGGGGGCGGGGGCCGCGGGCUCCGCCGCUCCGCAGCAGCCGGUAGCCAUGCGCUGGUUUAGUUGCUCGUAGUUGCUGAAGUAAAACUUCUAUCCUCUCCAUGCUAACUGUUGACAUGGAAAACAAGGAAAAUGGCUCUCUGGAUGUCAAAAAUUCACUAGAGAAUGGAAGACCUCUGGAUCCUGCUGACUGGGCUGUUACUGAUGUUGUGAAUUAUUUCAGAACAGCUGGAUUUGAAGAACAAGCCAAUGCUUUUCAGGAACAGGAAAUUGAUGGCAAAUCAUUACUGUUGAUGACAAGAAAUGAUGUACUGACUGGACUUUCAUUAAAACUGGGGCCUGCGCUGAAAAUCUAUGAAUAUCACGUAAAACCUCUACAGACACAACAUCUAAAGAACAACUCUUUAUAGCUAAUGGUCUAAUUGGGGUCAUGCUGUGCCUCAAAGGAAAAAUAAGCAAUUUGGUUUCAUGUGAUGGAACUUUGUAAAGAGAGACUAUAUCUAUUAAGAGUUUAAACCAAAUUAGAAUAUAUAUCCUAUUGGAUAGAGCUGGCAAUAUACUAUAUGCUGAGUCUGAACUGAGAGAGGUGGUGUGUAUUUUUUACAUAGUACAUAAUGGUUUUCUCUUUUAGGAAGUGUCAAUGAGCAUAUUGAAAUAGCUACAUCACUGUAUCCAGAACAAAAGGGAGUUUACUUUACAGAUCUUUUACUUUGUUGUGGUAUACUGGAGCUCCUUUCCUCCCUUUUCCUAUUAAAAAGGAGAAGCCCUGGCCACAGGUCACCAGUAAGAUCCGCGUUUCCCUUAGCCCUGUGCGGAGCUGUCAGCGGUGCGGAGCUGCUGCGCUGGCCCUGGUACACGGGGUGGGUCCCUGUACCCCAGAACGUCUGGGACACAGCCCACGGAUGGUGCUGAACCCUGGCUGGGCCCACCAUCAUCUCUGGUCCAGACAGCUGUGUCAUGACCCCUGAAAUGGGGAAGGAAUGUGGGGUUGCAUCAGUGAUGCUGAGCAGAGGAACAAGGAAGGAGGAAACAAGCAGGAGAAUGUGAUGAAAGUGGAGAUGGUGUGGGAGGAAAUGGUGAGGGGGUGUAGCUGGGAAGGGAAAGGGUGCUGCUUUCUGCCAAGUGGGGCCACAAUUCAGGGAGAGGAAGGAGAAACUCCUGCAGUCUCCUGCCUGAGUAGUGGCCCUGUCUUCACUUGGACUUGGCCAAGUGUGAGGUGGCUGUUCAUGCUUGUGGUCACUGGUGUUAAAGGGAAAAAGGGGAGAGAAGGGACAAAGCCAUGCUAAUAGCUGUGCCAUAGGUGAAGCUCAUGGUAUGUGCUAUAUUAUAUAAAUAUAUACAGCAGCAUGUUUUCUUGAAUUCUUCCUAACCUUUACAUGGUACAAUGUAUAUAUUUGGAAUUUGGGACAAUAGGACAGAGAUGUAUUCAUAAUUUCUUUGUCUGGUCCCUUGUACGGAGCUUACUUUAGGUAUUGGUCUGUUAGCAGCAGGUUUGUAAAUCGUGGUCUGAAUUCUGUUUAUGAUUUUAUUUAUAGUUUGGUCAUGUCCAGAGAUACCUGCUGGGAGUAGGGCUCUGCUGGACUGGAUUCAAAUAGAGAUCAUCAACCCUGCCUUGGGGAAUUUUGAGCUGUCGUCUGUAUCUGGCUAAUUUUGGACUGCAGUUUAAAAAUUAUACAUUAAACACCUAAAUAUUUUAAUAGAGAAUUAGGUAUGUUUAUGAAAAGGAUCAUGAAAGGAGUCUGGACAUGCUAACCAGCACUGUAUGUACAUAAUGAGAAUACAUAGUGCUGUGUUACUGAAGGAUUAAUGGAAUAUUCUUUUUUUUCUCCAUUUCCAUGUUUGGUAUGGGAUUUACAUUUUGUGGUCCUAUGGGAGGCAAAAUUUGAAGUAAAAUAUACUUAUUCCAAGAGGGAGUAAAAAUC